AUGCGCAUCGGCGGCCACCGUGUGCGCACAGCCAAGGCCCAGUCGCUGGCGCGAGACUUCGAGACUAUCGAUUUUCGCGUCGGGGAGACCGUGGACGAUUUUGCGAUGCGGCUCGGCUCCAUGGUCACCAACCUGAAUAUCCUUGGCGACAAGGUCACCGAGGAGAAGGCGGUAAGGAAGUUCUUGCAUGUAGUGCCUCCACGGUACUCGCACAUUGCCCUGUCCAUUGAAACACUUGUUGAUCUCGAUACAUUGAGCAUUGAGGAUCUGACAGGCCGCCUCAAAGCGGCCGAGGAGAGGUUUGAUCACGGCGGCUCAGGGCAGGCCGGCGGAAACCUGCUGUUCACCGAGGAGCAAUGGCUGGCACGCUACAAGCAGCGCGAGCAGGGCGAGGGAUCACCGUGUGGUGGUGGUCGUGGCAGCGGCCGCGGUGGCGGUCGCGGCCGCGGCCGUGGCAGAGGACGUGGCGGAAAGGGCAGGGACAGCACACCCGGAGAUGGCGCGCCCGGCGGUGGCCGAGGGGCGUCGGGCGGCGGCUCUCGCUUCAAGGGAAACUGCCACAACUGCGGCAUUCAGGGCCACAUGGCUCGGGAUUGCACCAAGCCCAAGCAGCAGCGCAAGGAAGAGGCCAACCUCAACCAGGCACAGGAGGAUCAGCCUGCGCUGCUCAUGGUGGUGAGUUGCGGACUCGCCCAAAUCCACAUCGAGCUGGCGCGUGAGCGCGUCUUCCUCAACGAGAAGAGCGUGAUCCCGGUGCAGACGGCGUGCAACGCCUGGUACCUGGACACGGGCGCGAGCAAUCACAUGACAGGCGAACGGGCCGUGUUCUCCGCGCUCGAUGAGACGGUGACUGGCAUGGUCAGGUUCGGCGAUGGCUCGUCAGUUGAUAUCCGUGGGCGUGGAACGGUGGUGUUUAACUGCAAGAACAAGUCACACCGUGCACUGACGGGGGUGUACUACAUACCCCAGCUGAAGAGCAGCAUUGUGAGCAUCGGGAAAAUCGACGAGGUGGGCUGCAAGACGGUGUUCGAAGACGGCGUGAUGAGCAUCUUCGACCAGUAG
rnacentral:rRNA from 1 species